GACGAACGCUGGCGGCAUACCUUACACAUGCAAGUCGAACGGCAGCAUGGAGAGCUUGCUCUCUGAUGGCGAGUGGCGAACGGGUGAGUAAUGCAUCGGAACGUACCGUGUAAUGGGGGAUAACGUAGCGAAAGUUACGCUAAUACCGCAUACGACCUGAGGGUGAAAGCAGGGGAUCGCAAGACCUCGCGUUAUACGAGCGGCCGAUGUCAGAUUAGCUAGUUGGUGAGGUAAAGGCUCACCAAGGCGACGAUCUGUAGCGGGUCUGAGAGGAUGAUCCGCCACACUGGGACUGAGAGACGGCCCAGACUCCUACGGGAGGCAGCAGUGGGGAAUUUUGGACAAUGGGGGCAACCCUGAUCCAGCCAUGCCGCGUGAGUGAAGAGGGCCUUCGGGUUGUAAAGCUCUUUCGGCCGGGAAGAAAUCGCACAGGCUAAUACUCUGUGUGGAUGACGGUACCGGCAUAAGAAGCACCGGCUAACUACGUGCCAGCAGCCGCCGUAA
rnacentral:rRNA from 1 species